AGUGAACGCUGGCGGUAGGCCUAACACAUGCAAGUCGAACGGCAGCACAGUAAGAGCUUGCUCUUACGGGUGGCGAGUGGCGGACGGGUGAGGAAUACAUCGGAAUCUACUUUUUCGUGGGGGAUAACGUAGGGAAACUUACGCUAAUACCGCAUACGACCUACGGGUGAAAGCAGGGGAUCUUCGGACCUUGCGCGAUUGAAUGAGCCGAUGUCGGAUUAGCUAGUUGGCGGGGUAAAGGCCCACCAAGGCGACGAUCCGUAGCUGGUCUGAGAGGAUGAUCAGCAACACUGUAACUGAGACACGGUCCAGCCUGCGACGGGAGGCGGCAGUGGGGAAUAUUGGACAAUGGUCGCAUGCCUAGUCCAGCGAUACCGCGUGGAGAAGGAAGGCCUUCGGGUUGUAAAGCCCUUUUGUAGGGAAAGAAAAGCAGCAGGUUAAUACCCCGCUGUUUUGACGGUACCCAAAAAAUAAGCGCCGGCAAGCUUGGUG
rnacentral:rRNA from 1 species